rnacentral:rRNA from 1 species
CCUACGGGAGGCAGCAGUGAGGAAUAUUGGACAAUGGGCGCAAGCCUGAUCCAGCCAUGCCGCGUGCAGGAAGAAGCAUCUAUGGUGUGUAAACUGCUUUUGUACAGGAAGAAACACUCCCUCGUGAGGGAGCUUGACGGUACUGUAAGAAUAAGGACCGGCUAACUCCGUGCCAGCAGCCGCGGUAAUACGGAGGGUCCGAGCGUUAUCCGGAAUCAUUGGGUUUAAAGGGUCCGUAGGCGGUUUAAUAAGUCAGUGGUGAAAUCUGGUCGCUCAACGAUCAAACGGCCAUUGAUACUGUUAGACUUGAAUUAUAAGGAAGUAACUAGAAUAUGUAGUGUAGCGGUGAAAUGCUUAGAUAUUACAUGGAAUACCAAUUGCGAAGGCAGGUUACUACUUAUGGAUUGACGCUGAUGGACGAAAGCGUGGGGAGCGAACAGGAUUAGAUACCCUGGUAGUCCACGCCGUAAACGAUGGAUACUAGCUGUUCGGAGCAAUCUGAGUGGCUAAGCGAAAGUGAUAAGUAUCCCACCUGGGGAGUACGUUCGCAGAAUGAACUCAAAUGAAUUGACGGCUGAGACGNGCGAGGACGACGACGAGGGAGGAGG